rnacentral:lncRNA from 1 species
GUUUAGUGAUUAGGAUUUAGGGUUUAGUAUUUGGAAGAUGGGGGUUGAGGUUUUGGUCAACAUUAACUUCUUUCAUGCAAGCAUAAACAUUUUAUAACUUCUCCAACAUGUACUAUACUAUUUAUUUUGUUCCAUUCUAUUUAGGUUUAUGGUUGAUAUUUGAGUUUAUGGUUCAUAUUUAGGUUUAGAGUUUAGUGAUUAUGGUUUAUGGUUUAGCAUUUAGAGGUUGGAGGUGGGUUUAGGAUAAAUUUAUUAUUUAGGAGUUGAGAUGGAGUUGGUGUCUUAUACUAUUAGGGAUUAUGGAUAUGGUUAUAGUCUUAUACCACUUUGGCCAUAUGAAAUAGAACGCUCUGUACCUAUUUAUGUGGUCACUAAACGUGCGACAUAGAUAGCUUCUUCUUCUUUUAUGUAUAAAUAUGUUUGUGGCAAAUAAGUGUGUGACGUGAGUUUUAUUACAGUGCAUAGUAUGCCAUAAAUAAGUGUGUAAGUUGGUGGCAUUACGUGAUAUGAUAGUAAUAAUGGUGUUUUUCUCUCAUCCAUAUAUUUUAACAACUACAUCAUUCACCUUUUUUUUUCUACCCGCUACUUAUAAAAGAUGGGGGUAUAACCGACUAAAAUAGAAACUAAUUGUUAGUGAGUUAGUUAUGUCAAAAUCAUUGACA